rnacentral:ncRNA from 1 species
AGAACUCUGUUCAAUCCGAAGCUUUACGAAUAGUCGCGUAAAAGUUUAUGUAGGAAGAAUGGAGUUUU